GGCCCAUCAACAAGGGGAGAUGAUGAAAUGGGCCCAUUUGUAAUGGGAUACCGAGCCCAAUACAAAAGCCCACUUUCGCAACUGCGCUGCUGGGGUUCUGAAAUGCACGCCGUCGUUCAGCAGUGACAUCUAAAAUCAAAGCGAAGAAGAAGACGAAGACGAAGACGAAGAAGGAAGGGUUUGGAGAAGAGUCAAAGAGUGAAUCAAAGAGAUGGCGUUUCUGAAGGGAGAACCACUGAUAAGAAAGCUGGCCUUGGUAUCUAAGUACGCCGUUUUGCCUGGCGCCAUGAUCGCUGCUCUCGUCUACUCGCCGCCCGAUUAUGUCUACUACUCCAAGAACAACCCCAAACCAAUCAAAUAGAUGCCUCUGGGAUUUCGAUUAUGGGACCAUCUUGACUAAAUUCAUUAUGGAUGUAGGGCCUUUGCUCUUAAAUUUUAGCAUGUAAUAAGCCUCUGUGGUCUCAAAUUGCUCAAUUUGAUGUUCAUUGAAGAUUUGAAUGGUUGUACUUGUUUUUCUCAAGGAAUACUGACCAGGAAAUUUCUGAAGAUACUUUUUUUCUUUUUUGUCUUAUAAAUAAAUAAUAUUGUCUCAAUGAAUAUAACCUUGAUUCACUUCA